rnacentral:rRNA from 1 species
CCUACGGGAGGCAGCAGUAGGGAAUAUUGCUCAAUGGGGGAAACUCUGAAGCAGCAACGCCGCGUGGAGGAUGAAGGUUUUCGGAUUGUAAACUCCUUUUGUUAGAGAAGAUAAUGACGGUAUCUAACGAAUAAGCACCGGCUAACUCCGUGCCAGCAGCCGCGGUAAUACGGAGGGUGCAAGCGUUACUCGGAAUCACUGGGCGUAAAGAGCGCGUAGGCGGGAUAGCAAGUCAGAUGUGAAAUCCUAUGGCUUAACCAUAGAACUGCAUUUGAAACUGGUAUUCUAGAGUAUGGGAGAGGUAGGUGGAAUUCGUGGUGUAGGGGUAAAAUCCGUAGAGAUAAAGAGGAAUACUCAUGGCGAAGGCGACCUGCUAGAACAUAACUGACGCUGAUGCGCGAAAGCGUGGGGAGCAAACAGGAUUAGAUACCCGUGUAGUC